UACGAAGGGGGCUAGCGUUGCUCGGAAUCACUGGGCGUAAAGCGCACGUAGGCGGCUUUUUAAGUCAGGGGUGAAAUCCUGGAGCUCAACUCCAGAACUGCCUUUGAUACUGAGAAGCUUGAGUCCGGGAGAGGUGAGUGGAACUGCGAGUGUAGAGGUGAAAUUCGUAGAUAUUCGCAAGAACACCAGUGGCGAAGGCGGCUCACUGGCCCGGUACUGACGCUGAGGCACGAAAGCGUAGGGAGCAAACAGG
rnacentral:rRNA from 1 species